rnacentral:tRNA from 2 species
UGCCCGAUAGUAUAAUGGUAGUACUACAGAUUCUGGCUCUGUUAGUUCAGGUUCGAGUCCUGAUCGGGUAA